rnacentral:rRNA from 1 species
UUCUGGUUGAUCCUGCCGGAGGUCACUGCUAUUGGGAUUCGACUAAGCCAUGCGAGUCGAGAGGGUUCGGCCCUCGGCUGACGGCUCAGUAACACGUGGAUAAUCUACCCUAAGGUGGAGGAUAACCUCGGGAAACUGAGAAUAAUACUCCAUAAGUCUAGGAUACUGGAAUGUACUUAGGCUGAAAACUUCGGUGCCUUAGGAUGAGUCUGCGGACUAUCAGGUUGUAGUCAGGGUAAAGACCUGACUAGCCUACAACGGAUACGGGUUGUGAGAGCAAUAACCCGGAGAUGAUAUCUGAGACACGAUAUCAGGCCCUACGGGGCGCAGCAGGCGCGAAAACUUCACACUGCGCGAAAGCGCGAUGAGGGAAUCCCAAGUGCUUGCACGUAAGUGUAAGCUGUUUCUAUGUCUAAAACGCAUAGAGAGUAAGAGCUGGGUAAGACGGGUGCCAGCCGCCGCGGUAA